CCCUUAAAUGUUCUGGGCCGCACGCGCGCUACACUGAUGCAUUCAACGAGCCUAUCCUUGACCGACAGGUCCGGGUAAUCUUUGAAUCUGCAUCGUGACGGGGAUAGAUUAUUGCAAUUAUUAAUCUUCAACGAGGAAUGCCUAGUAGGCGCAAGUCAUCAGCUUGCGUCGAUUACGUCCCUGCCCUUUGUACACACCGCCCGUCGCUCCUACCGAUUGGGUGUGCUGGUGAAAUGUUCGGAUCGGCCGUUUGUCGCGGUUUCCGCGUCAUGUGGCUGAGAAGUUCAUUAAACCCUCCCACCUAGAGGAAGGAGAAGUCGUAACA
rnacentral:rRNA from 1 species